GACGUAGGUGGCGAACGUUAUCCGGAAUUAUUGGGCGUAAAGGGUGUGCAGAUGGUCUGACAAGUUAGCAGUGGCAAAUCGAGGCUCAACCUCGUGGAAACUGGUAAUACUGUCUGACUCGGGUACAGGAGAGGUUAACGGAACUCCAUGUGGAGCGGUAAAAUGUGUAGAUAUAUGGAAGAACACCAAUAACGGCGAAGGCAGUUAACUAUUCUGUUACUGACAUUGAGGCACGAAAGCGUGGGGAGCAAAACGG
rnacentral:rRNA from 1 species